rnacentral:lncRNA from 1 species
UUUAUUUGUGGCCUCUUUGGCUCUUUCUUUUUAUCUCUCAUUUGUCCUCUUUGGGAUCUUUUGUUUUGUCCACUUUGGGAUCUUUUCCUCACUUAAGGGCAAUUUAUUUAUGUUUUACAUGAAUAAAAAGAAAACUCAUCACACUUUAUAAGAAGUACUCGACAUAAACAUAAGUGAAAACUAUCAUGAUGUAUGCAAAUGUAUGCCUCUACCAGUGUAGCAGGAUAUGCAAUGAUACUAGCGCGUCAUGUAGCAGUAAUAAGGGCAAGGCCCAAGUAGCAUACGGC